UGUUCCUCAAGAUAACCUCACUACUCUGGCUUUAGAGUUUUUGUGAAUCAGAGACAUACAUCCCAAUCUUGCAAUCCCUUGGUUGCAGAGCAUCUGUGAGUGUCCCCCAUGCUAGGCAGGGACAGUAGCUGACUUGCAGUUUGGCAAGCGUUGUGGUGGGACCAUUUGUCCCUUGCUUCCUGGUCAUUUUACUCAAAGCUAGCUACCAGCUGCUGGUCACCUCGAUAGAUUUGGACGACCUGUUCUUGAAUCUCUUAGCUUGUGAGGAGCAUGCAGCUCAUGGGGAUUGAUGGAAGCAGUUAUUAUGGAAGCAGCUAUAGCCAGUGUCUGUAGCAGUGGGCAGCACUGACAGAAUCAAGAUUGCAGCUCUUACUGGGAGUGAGUGCAACACCAUCUCCAAAGGCCGUGCAGUCUGGAGAUGCCACCUGCCUCACAUCAACAUCUCCAAAUGUUGGGCAGCUUUUUACCAGCACCUGUGGCACAGUUGACUCCCAGAAAUUCCAGCUCAGUAAGCUCUAGGGUGAGUCAGCCAUCUGAUGGUUCUUAAAAACCACAGGUUAUUUCUAAGAUAGAUCCAUGAUUAAAAGAAGUCUUUAGAAAAACUAGCUGUGAGUUGUACAGUGAGUCUGCUUCCUAAUCCAUGCCAGGGAACUCUGUAAGUUUGUUAGGAACAAGAUGCGUGGAGAAAGUGCCCUGAAUUAGAGGAACCUUAAGCAGGGGGGACUUAUUUGAAGUUUGUCAACUGGGUCUUCAUAGUUCUCAGAUGAACUCUAAGAAGGAGACAACUGAGAGCAGAGGUAUACAGUUGCCUUUGGGAAGGAUAAACAGGGUUUAAAUGAAUGAAUGCCCGACAAGAGAGCAGUUAACGUCCUAACUUGUCUGUAAGGUUAAUUAUUA
rnacentral:lncRNA from 1 species